GAUGAAGAACGCAGCGAAACGCGAUAUGCAAUGUGAAUUGCAGAAUUCAGUGAAUCAUCGAAUCUUUGAACGCACAUGGCGCCUUCCAGUAUCCUGGGAGGCAUGCCUGUCCGAGCGUCGUUUCAACCCUCGAGCCCCCGUGGCCCGGCGUUGGGGAUCUGCCCAGGCAGUCCCCGAAAACCAGUGGCGGACCCGUUACAGGCCCUUCCCUUGCGUAGUAGCAUUCGCCUCGCAUCGGGAGCCGGCGGGCUUCCAGCCUCUAAACCCCCAUCAAGUCCGCCCCGGCGGCACCAAGGUUGACCUCGGAUCAGGUAGGAAUACCCGCUGAACUUAAGCAUAUCAAUAAGCGGAGGA
rnacentral:misc_RNA from 1 species